AUUGAACGCUGGCGGCAUGCCUAACACAUGCAAGUCGAACGAGUGGCGGACGGGUGAGUAAGGUCUGGGAAACUGCCUGAUGGAGGGGGAUAACUACUGGAAAAGGUAGCUACUACAGCAUCCCAUCAUAUGAGCCCAGAUGGGUUUAGCUUGUUGGUUGGGUAACGGCUCACCAAGGCGACGAUCCCUAGCUGGUCUGAGAGGAUGACCAGACACACGGGAACUGAGACACGGUCCAGGUUCCUACGAGAGGCAGCAGUGGGGAAUAUGGCACAAUGGGCGUAAGCCUGAUGGAGCCAUGCCGCGUGUAUGAAGAAGGCCUUCGGGUUGUAAAGUACUUUCAGCGGGGAGGCGUUACCCGCAGAGGAAGCACCGGCUAACUCCGUGGCAGCAGCCGCGGUAAUUC
rnacentral:rRNA from 1 species